rnacentral:rRNA from 1 species
UGUGUCUAGGUAACGGCUCUACAAGCAGACCAUAGCUAGGGGACGAUGGGUAUUGGUCCCCCGCGGGUGUUCUGAGACACGGACCAGACUCCUCGGGGAGGCAUCAUUGAGGAAUCAGCUCAAUGGAAGCAAGUCAAACCAGCCAUUCGCGUGAAGGAGGACGGCCUGAAGGGUAAGGUUUUCUUAUGCAAAAGAAUAAAGUUUGGGGAAGAAUAAAUGACGGCAAGUAAUGAGGAAGCCCCGAUUAACUAAGUGCCAGCCGGCAGGGUAAUUAAUAGGGGGGAUCCGGUGUCCGUAAUGAUUUAUUGUAAUGAAAGGGUAGGCGGGCGGGGAUUUCAGUCGGCGAAUAAAUUUCGGGAACCAACGAAUAGCAUUCGGAAGAAAGUAGUUCUAGUGCGGGAGGGGGAAGUGGAAUUAAUAGUGGAGCGGUGAAAUGAGUGGGGAUUUGGAGCAACGCCCAUCGAGAGGGGGGGCAUCUUGAUAAUCCGUUACGGACGGUCAUGCAAGAAGGCGUGGGGAUCAAAC